rnacentral:rRNA from 1 species
UCGGGAAUUUUGGGCAAUGGGCGAAAGCCUGACCCAGCAACGCCGCGUGAAGGAUGAAGUAUUUCGGUAUGUAAACUUCGAAAGAAUAGGAAGAAUAAAUGACGGUACUAUUUAUAAGCUCCGGCUAACUACGUGCCAGCAGCCGCGGUAAUACGUAGGGAGCAAGCGUUGUUCGGAUUUACUGGGCGUAAAGGGCGCGUAGGCGGCGCGGUAAGUCACUUGUGAAAUCUCUGAGCUUAACUCAGAACGGCCAAGUGAUACUGCAGUGCUAGAGUGCAGAAAGGGCAAUCGGAAUUCUUGGUGUAGCGGUGAAAUGCGUAGAUAUCAAGAGGAACACCUGAGGCGAAGGCGGGUUGCUAGGCUGACACUGACGCUGAUGCGCGAAAGCCAGGGGAGCAAA